AGUGAACGCUGGCGGUAGGCCUAACACAUGCAAGUCGAACGGCAGCACAGUAAGAGCUUGCUCUUACGGGUGGCGAGUGGCGGACGGGUGAGGAAUACAUCGGAAUCUACUUUUUCGUGGGGGAUAACGUAGGGAAACUUACGCUAAUACCGCAUACGACCUACGGGUGAAAGCAGGGGAUCUUCGGACCUUGCGCGAUUGAAUGAGCCGAUGUCGGAUUAGCUAGUUGGCGGGGUAAAGGCCCACCAAGGCGACGAUCCGUAGCUGGUCUGUGAGGAUGAUCAGCCACACUGGAACUGAGACGCCGUCCUGACGCCUACGGGAGGCAGCAGUGGGGAACAUUGGACAAUGGGCGCAAGUCUGAUCCAGCCAUAGCGCGUGGGUGAAAAAAACCUUCGGGUUGUGAUGCCCUUUUGUUGGGAGAGAAAAGCAGCAGGUUAAUACCCCGCUGUUCUGACGGUACCCAAUGAAUAAGCACCGGCUAACUUCGUG
rnacentral:rRNA from 1 species